rnacentral:lncRNA from 1 species
UGUAAAUUGUAAACCCAGAUGCUCCUGUGAGUAGUAUGCGUCGUGUAGUCAAACUUUCCCCCUUCUCUUUAAUGGUAUCAGAAACAGAAGUAAAGGAAAACAGAAGCUAUUCAUUAAAUGCUGGAGGAAAACCGGCUUGAGAACCAACGCAUUGGGUGCUCCAGCGUGAGACACGGGAGCCAUACAUCCAGACAGGAGGAUCAAUCUGGGACCAUUUGAGGGCCGCUUCUAAACAC